rnacentral:tRNA from 1 species
GCCAGUGUGCCGGAGUGGUUAACGGAACGGUCUCGAAAACCGUGCCCUUCGGGGCUCCUAGGUUCGAAUCCUAGCACUGGCG